AUUGAACGCUGGCGGCAGGCCUAACACAUGCAAGUCGAACGAGUGGCGGACGGGUGAGUAAUGUCUGGGAAACUGCCUGAUGGAGGGGGAUAACUACUGGAAACGGUAGCUAAUACCGCAUACCAUCAGAUGUUCCCAGAUGGGAUUAGCUUGUUGGUGGGGUACCGGGUCACCAAGGCGACGAUCCAUAGCUGGUCUGAGCGGAUGACCAGCAAAACGGGAACUGAGACACGGUCCAGAAUCCUACGGGAGGCAGCAGUGGGGAAUAUUGGACAAUGGGGGCAAGCCUGAAGGAGCCAUGCCGCGUGUAUGAAGAAGGGCUACGGGUUGUAAAGUACUUUCAGCGGGGAGGCGUUACCCGCAGAAGAAGCACCGGCUAACUCCGUGCCAGCAGCCGCGGUAAUAC
rnacentral:rRNA from 1 species